GCGGUUGCACUGUACUUAUCUACAACUUGGUACAUGUCACUGAUAUGCGUUAAAUUUGGGACCCUUUAUUCUACUAUUCCAGCUUUCAUGAUAAAAGAAUAAUUGAUAUAUGAUAUGCUGAUGAUUUUAAGAGG